rnacentral:pre_miRNA from 1 species
UUUAUUCUCCUGGAUAAUACAAUAAUUGCGCUUAGAGAAGUUGAUGGUGACAGAACUUACAUUGUACAUGUGACUAGUCAUUUGGCAAAUUUAUAUGACAUCAGUCACCCUAAGCGCAAUUAUUGUAUCAUUUAGGGGGGAUAAA